AAUAUGAACACGUUUACGUGUAUUUCAUAGAUACAUGGAACAGUCUCAGUCCCUCAGAAAGGGAAUAUCAAAAAAGAAUAAUUUGUUGAAAGGUGAUACUGCAGUAAAUAAGUUUCAUUUCUUGUAAUUUGUGUAAAAUGUGCAGUUCACUAAACAUCUUUUUUGUACGAAUCGAGCCUGCACUGCUUCUCUCUUUCCAUGCGCAUAUUUUAAAAGGAGAGAAUGGGAAGGUGUGACGUGAAUAAACGCACUGAAUUACUGAACAGCGUUUUGCAGCCUGCUGACCUGUAAAGGAAUCUGAGGCACCAGGUCUAUUUUGGUCCUUUCUGCGGAAGGCCACCUACACAGGUUCUAGAGGAGUGAAGAAUGAGAGUUCAGCAUGUUCUGGAAGGAGAAGUUUGGAUUUGUUAUGCAGCACGAGUGUUGCCUUCUCAAUGUCAUUUUCCCAUCUGUCUUGCUCAGCAGUGUUGCAGCCUCAGCUGAUCCAUGUGUGCAGUCGUCAGGCAGAUCAUACUGCACAGUGAUACAGCACUACGAUAGAUCAGCUCAAGAUUUGGUAAUAUGACAAGGGUCACAAAUUGAAAAAAGGGAGCUUUGAACUUGACGCAAAGAAAGAAUCUUCUAAAUUCAACGUUGGCCCUGCAGACGUUGGACUCUUCCGUUGCCAGCACUGAGGGGAAUCAAUUAAAUCGGAGCUGGGUUCAAAGCAACCAAAAGGAGGCGAUUCUUCAUACAUGCCUCAGGUAAGAUGAGCAUCAGGAAGAGUUUGCCACUGGGUGUUUUGGACGUGGGCUCUAAGGUAGUCUGGACACAUUCACAGAAGACAUCCAUUGGGCCAAAGCGUGGUGGAGUUACCUGCUAAUGAGUUCACACAGCUGACAGAGA